rnacentral:snoRNA from 1 species
UCUGCCCCUACCAACAUUGGAGGUGUGGCUGCUGUGUCACAUGUGCAUCAGUAGGUGGCAGAGAGGAGAGAGGCUAUGUCUAUGCUCAGGGUUCUGAUCUAUGAACAUCUGAAUGAUUAGUAGCUUAACAUU